rnacentral:rRNA from 1 species
CAAUAGCGUAUAUUAAAGUUGUUGCAGUUAAAAAGCUCGUAGUUGGACUUCUGGCAGGGCGCCGCGUGCCACAGUAGUGUGCACAAGGGCCCGGCCAUCCUUCUGUAAACGUCGGGGAAGUUUAUUCGUCCGCGGCGGGAUCAGUUAAUUUACCUUGAGAAAAUUAGAGUGUUUCAGGCAGGCUUUCGCCGGAAUACAUUAGCAUGGAAUAAUGGAAAAGGACUUCAACCUCUUCUGUUGGUCUGAGAGGCUGUAGUAAUGAUUAAUAGGGAUAGUUGGGGGCAUUAGUACUUAACUGUCAGAGGUGAAAUUCUCCGAUUUGUUAAAGACUAACUUAUGCGAAAGCAUUUGCCAAGGAUGUUUUCAUUAAUCAAGAACGAAAGUUAGGGGAUCAAAGAUGAUUAGAUAUCAU